AGAGUUUGAUCCCGGCUCAGAAUCAACGCUGGCGGCGCGCCUAACACAUGCAAGUCGAACGAGAAAGUGGAGCAAUCCAUGAGUAAAGUGGCGUACGGGUGAGUAACACGUGGGUAAUCUACCCUUUGGUGUGGAAUAACCCUGGGAAACCGGGGCUAAUACCGCAUAAGCUCGAGAGAGGAAGCAGCAAUGCGCCGAAGGAGGAGCCCGCGGCCGAUUAGCUAGUUGGCAGGGUAAAAGCCUACCAAGGCUGAGAUCGGUAGCCGGCCUGAGAGGGCACACGGCCACACUGGCACUGAAACACGGGCCAGACUCCUACGGGAGGCAGCAGUGGGGAAUCUUGCACAAUGGGGGAAACCCUGAUGCAGCGACGCCGCGUGAGCGAUGAAGCCCUUCGGGGUGUAAAGCUCUUUCGGCAGGGAAGAUUAUGACGGUACCUGCAGAAGCAGCUGCGGCUAACUACGUGCCAGCAGCCGCGGUAAUACGUAGGCAGCGAGCGUUGUUCGGAGUUACUGGGCGUAAAGGGUGUGUAGGCGGUUGCUUAAGUUUGGUGUGAAAUCUCCCGGCUCAACUGGGAGGGUGCGCCGAAUACUGAGUGACUAGAGUGCGGGAGAGGAAAGUGGAAUUCCUGGUGUAGCGGUGAAAUGCGUAGAUAUCAGGAGGAACACCGGUGGUGUAGACGGCUUUCUGGACCGUAACUGACGCUGAAACACGAAAGCGUGGGUAGCAAACAGGAUUAGAUACCCUGGUAGUCCACGCCCUAAACGAUGCACAUUUGGUGUGGGUCAUUCAGUUGAUCCGUGCCGGAGCUAACGCGUUAAAUGUGCCGCCUGGGGAGUACAGUCGCAAGGCUGAAACUCAAAGGAAUUGACGGGGGCCCGCACAAGCGGUGGAGCAUGUUGUUCAAUUCGACCCACGCGAAGAACCUUACCUGGGCUCGAACGGCUGGUCAACGGCGGUGGAAACAUCGCUACCCCGCAAGGGGGUCCAGUCGAGGUGCUGCAUGGCUGUCGUCAGCUCGUGUCGUGAGAUGUUGGGUUAAGUCCCGCAACGAGCGCAACCCUUGUCCUGUGUUGCCAUGUCCGCAAGGACGGAACUCGCAGGAGACCGCCAGCGAUAAGCUGGAGGAAGGUGGGGAUGACGUCAAGUCCUCAUGGCCUUUAUGUCCAGGGCUACACACGUGCUACAAUGGACGGUACAAAGCGCCGCUAACCCGCGAGGGGGAGCCAAUCGCAGAAAACCGUUCUCAGUUCGGAUUGCAGGC
rnacentral:rRNA from 1 species